rnacentral:rRNA from 1 species
GACGAACGCUGGCGGCGUGCUUAACACAUGCAAGUCGAACGGAAAGGCCCUGCUUUUGUGGGGUGCUCGAGUGGCGAACGGGUGAGUAACAUGUGAGUAACCUGCCCUUGACUUUGGGAUAACUUCAGGAAACUGGGGCUAAUACCGGAUAGGAGCUCCUGCUGCAUGGAGGGCGUUGGAAAGCUUCGGCGGGUGGGGGUGGACUCGCGGCUUACGAGCUUGUUGGUGGGGGAGCGGCCUACCAAGGCAUUGACGGGUAGUCGGCCUGGGAGGGUGACCGGCGACAAUGGGACUGAGAGACGGCGCAGACGCGAACGGGGGACAGCAGUGGGGAAUAUUGCACAGUGAGCGGGAGCCUGAUGCAGCAACGCCGCGUGCGGGAUGACGGCCUUCGGGUUGUAAACCGCUUUCGCCUGUGACGAAGCGUGAGUGACGGUAAUGGGUAAAGAAGCACCGGCUAACUACGUG